rnacentral:rRNA from 1 species
GACGAACGCUGGCGGCGUGCCUAAUACAUGCAAGUCGAGCGGACCAAAGGGAGUUUGCUCCUGGAGGUCAGCGGCGAACGGGUGAGUAACACGUGGGCAACCUGCCUGUAAGACUGGGAUAACAUCGAGAAAUCGGUGCUAAUACCGGAUAAUAAAAAGAACUGCAUGGUUCUUUUUGAAAGAUGGUUUCGGCUAUCACUUACAGAUGGCCGCGGCGCAUUAGCUAGUUGGUGAGGUAACGGCUCACCAAGGCAACGAUGCGUAGCCGACCUGAGAGGGUGAUCGGCCACACUGGGACUGAGACACGGCCCAGACUCCUACGGGAGGCAGCAGUAGGGAAUCUUCCGCAAUGGACGAAAGUCUGACGGAGCAACGCCGCGUGAGUGAUGAAGGUUUUCGG